rnacentral:RNase_P_RNA from 1 species
GGAGUGUGUUGGGCAGCCGCUGUUGUUGCCGCCGCUGCCAAGCAAUCGGCAGCGUGUGGCAAGCAGAGGAACGUCCGAACUCCACAGGGCAGCGUGCCGGCUAACGGCCGGGCGUUCAAUCGCUGGCAAUGCGCCAACGAAAGGCGACGGAAAGUGCAACAGAAAAGAUACCGCCCACAUCCCCCCUGGGGAUAUGGGUAAGGGUGAAAUGGUGAGGUAAGAGCUUACCGCGUUGCGGGCAACCGCAACGGCAGUGCAAACCCCACGCGGAGCAAGGCCAAAUAGGGCAUCGGAACGGGGCGGCCCGCCUCUGGAUUUUCCCCUCGAGGAAGGUUCACGAUGUCGGGUAGGCUGCUAGAGCGGAUAAGCGAUUAUCCGCCCAGAUCAAUGGCUGCCUCCCUUGCCACGCACACACGCGCAGCAAGGCAGACAGAAUUCGGCGUACAAACACGCUUCGGAU